UACAGAGGUCCCAAGCGUUGUUCGGAUUCAUUGGGCGUAAAGGGUGCGUAGGCGGCGCGGUAAGUCGGGUGUGAAAUCUCGGGACUUAACUCCGAAACUGCAUUCGAUACUGCCGUGCUUGAGGACUGGAGAGGAGACUGGAAUUUACGGUGUAGCGGUGAAAUGCGUAGAUAUCGUAAGGAAGACCAGUGGCGAAGGCGGGUCUCUGGACAGUUCCUGACGCUGAGGCACGAAGGCCAGGGGAGCAAACGGG
rnacentral:rRNA from 1 species